rnacentral:rRNA from 1 species
GGAUGAUAAUGACAGUACCUGAAAAACAAGCCACGGCUAACUACGUGCCAGCAGCCGCGGUAAUACGUAGGUGGCGAGCGUUGUCCGGAAUUAUUGGGCGUAAAGGAUGCGUAGGUGGAUAUUUAAGUGGGAUGUGAAAUCCCCGGGCUCAACCCGGGAACUGCAUUCCAUACUGGAUGUCUAGAGUGCAGGAGAGGAAAGUGGAAUUCCUAGUGUAGCGGUGAAAUGCGUAGAUAUUAGGAGGAACACCAGUGGCGAAGGCGACUUUCUGGACUGUAACUGACACUGAGGCAUGAAAGCGUGGGUAGCAAACAGGAUUAGAUACCCUGGUAGUCCACGCCGUAAACGAUGGGUACUAGGUGUAGGAGGUAUCGACCCCUUCUGUGCCGUCGUUAACACAAUAAGUACCCCGCCGGGGGAGUACGGUCGCAAGACUAAAACUCAAAGGAAUUGACGG